UAUUAGCUGAUAAUUAACGGCUGCUAAUUAACAGCCGUAGUGUGUGAAAAUGUGACAAAUGCCGUGUAGAAACGCGCAUUAAAAUAUAAAAUAUCAUAAAACACACGUACGUACAGUGUGUAAUAUUGUUUCAGGGUAAUACAGUAGACUGUAAAUAAUCGAAAAUUCGCGAAAAUAGUGUGUAUGGAGACAUUACUUGCACGUCCGAGGCUGGCUAACCUUGGAGCGAGCGAGAGGUCGCGCGAACAACACACACACUCUUAGCUUAGCAUCUCACACGGCGCUGUCGCGCGCCAUUACAGCGCUUGACACGAAGCCGAAUGCGUCGCAUUACGCCACGCGUUUUACCAACUUUUCUGGAUCAAUCGGCACGAUCGUGAUACUUCGCGGGUAUUGUAUCAGUGCUGAGAUUAUCGUGAGCGGCAUCCAAUGGAAGAUAAGUGAAAGAUCCAGCGAAGCUCACGGAUGCAGCAUCGGUGAGAUCCGGAUGAGGCGAGGGGGAUCCUGAGUGACUUCCGGCGGAAUUCGCGUUUGUGUGGCGGAUGCAGCACCGGAAGAUCUUGCUUGGACCGAACGGAAUAACGUAGAAAUCUCUGUUGAAGCUUGCAACCACGUGGGAGAUGCAGCUGCGGAGGAUGCGGUUUCGGAUGGAUGGCAGAUGAUGCAGCACCGGAGGAUCCGGUUCGGGCCGAGCAGGGUUGGCUCGAAGAAUUGGACGUGACAGAACGUGGCCGGCCCUGAGUUCCUGGUAUUUGGGUGAGUGAGAGAAAAAUGGGCAUAACAAUUUUAGGUGAUGGAUAUAAAGAUUUCGAGGCUUUGACGGUAGAUUUGUUUUCGGACUUCCAUAAAAAUCAAUGCGAUUUACUUUGCAUGUUAGCUAUCGCGUAUUUGUGAAUGCGAAACGCUGAGCGAAGUAUAAUAGUCAGAGUCGCGUCCUCUUUGUUAUUUUUGAGAAACAA